rnacentral:rRNA from 1 species
AUUGAACGCUGGCGGCAUGCUUUACACAUGCAAGUCGAACGGCAGCACGAAAGAGCUUGCUCUUUUGGUGGCGAGUGGCGCACGGGUGAGUAAUGCAUCGGAACGUACCGAGUAAUGGGGGAUAACUGUCCGAAAGGAUAGCUAAUUCCGCAUACGCUUUGAGAAGGAAAGUGGGGGCUCUUCGGACCUCACGUUAUUCGAGCGGCCGAUGUCUGAUUAGCUAGUUGGUGGGGUAAAGGCCUACCAAGGCGACGAUCAGUAGCGGGUCUGAGAGGAUGAUCCGCCACACUGGGACUGAGACACGGCCCAGACUCCUACGGGAGGCAGCAGUGGGGAAUUUUGGACAAUGGGCGCAAGCCUGAUCCAGCCAUGCCGCGUGUCUGAAGAAGGCCUUCGGGUUGUAAAGGACUUUUGUUAGGGAAGAAAAGGAUAGUGUUAAUACCAUUAUCUGCUGACGGUACCUAAAGAAUAAGCACCGGCUAACUACGUG